rnacentral:tRNA from 1 species
GAGCAGGUAGCUCAGUGGUAGAGCACAUGCUUAGCAUGCUUCAGACCUUGGGUUUAACCCCCAGCAGCCUCC